rnacentral:rRNA from 1 species
CACGUAGGGGCGCAAGCGUUGUCCGGAAUUAUUGGGCGUAAAGAGCGUGUAGGCGGUCCGGUAAGUCAGCUGUGAAAGUUCAAGGGCUCAACCCUUGAAUGCCGGUUGAUACUGUCGGGCUAGAGUCCGGAAGAGGCGAGUGGAAUUCCCGGUGUAGCGGUGAAAUGCGCAGAUAUCGGGAGGAACACCAAUGGCGAAGGCAGCUCGCUGGGACGGUACUGACGCUGAGACGCGAAAGCGUGGGGAGCAAACA